AUGUCAAAGAGACAGGACGAGAACGUCCACUUCCAGCCCCAUGAGGGGCAGCGAUUGCUGUCCAAGCGGCAACAGGUGAGGGAUGGGGAUGGAGGGAGAGGCUGCACUGGGACCUGGGGGAAGGCUGGGGGCAGAGAGCCAGGCCUGGCACCAGGCCUUGCUCUGGGGAGGAGCCGGUGCCAGCAUGGCCCAGGUGAAGGAAUGCCCCAGAGACAGCGAGCACAGCUGGGAACCCAGCCCAGCCUGCCUGCAGCGGUCAGCACCUGCCUUAGGGCCAGAGCUGAGCUUGUCUCCGUGUGGGGGGACAGCGUGUCUGCACAGCCGCCUCCAUCCCACACCUCUUCCUGCUUCCCACAGGUGCCUCAGAGGCCACCGCAGGCAGCAGCAGAGGUCACAUGGGUGACCAUCGUGCCCCUCCACGGGGACAGACUCACAGGACACCUCACACAGGUGACACAGAACACCUCGUGGAGGUGUCCUCAGAAGGACAGCCUGGAGGGCAGGUAUUCACUGCUCCGCAGCGGCACAGUCACACGGCCAAAGAGGUUGUCCGUGUCAGACUUGCCGCCACUCCAUGGCCCUCCAUUGACAGUGACACCUCCGUGCCGGCUCAGCUCUGAAAUGCCAAGAGCAGCCUCGGCAAGGGUCAAGCUGCCCCCUCUGCCAGCAGCCCCAGCAGCCUCUGGGGCUUAUCCCAGAGGCAGAGCAUUGUCCAUGGGCCCUGUGGCCAGCAGCCACCGAGAGCUUGUGCCACCUUCUCGGUGGGGCACUGUGGCUGCUCACAGGGCCCGGGGAACACCUUCCCUGGACAGCUCAGCUGAAAGGCUCUGGCGAGGGUCAGCGGCAAGGCAGGGCCAUCACCUGCCACCCCUGCGACGUGCAGGGGGCAUGCUGCUCCGCACAGGGACCCAGCCUGACUGGAAACACCUGGGGCACAGCGAGAUGGAGGAGUUCAUUGAGGUGCAGGAACAGCACAGUGGCAACAUCUAUGCAGACCUGCUUAGAAGCCUUGCCCUGUGCCUGUAUGAAGACACAUCUACCAGGUCUACCUGCACCCAGGCGCAGUCAAGUGUCUGCCAGGAUGUACAUUCACAGCACCAGGUGUCAGAGCAGCAGUCUGUCUCUGACAACUCCCAGUCCUGGGACACUCCUCCAAAGGAGCCAAACUGGCAGGAGGAAGAGCUCCCAGUAACAGAGGCUGCAGGAGACAAGGCCAGCGACCCACAGGGCACGUUGCUUGCCCUAUUGAAAGAGAAAGAGGGAGAGCCAGGAUCUUCUACCCGGGACAAAGAUCCCUGGGAUGAGGGGAACAGCAAGCUUUUGCCCACAUCAGAGCCUGAGGUAAGCUCAGACUUCACAGCCUCUCCCUCAUCUGGACGCCACUGUGAAGAGAGGGGAGCUCAUCAGCUGCCCGAGCACACUGCACAUGGCAAGCUGCUGUGCACGGGGCCUGAGGAUGCUUCAAAGCAUCCUCUGAAUAUCGAUGCAGAGGAGCUGGAGAAGUUGGAGGAAGACAUCCUCUCCUCCCUGCAUCAAGAAAGCCCCUCGGUGCCACACAGUCUUUGUGGCUGGAGCAAAGACUCUGUAGGAGAGACCGAAAACUACACACAGCUCGUGCCCCCUGACCGGUAUGAAGAGCUGUGGUCUCUCUUAAACAACAAGGACGCCCCAUCCAGGGACGCUCGGCUAGACCAGCUACUGGCCAAGUGGGAGGAAGAAGAGCUCCAUGACACAGACACUGCUGGAGAGAGGGACAGCGAGUCACAGAGCUCGUUGUCUCUCCCACUGCAAGAUGCGGGAGCAGAGCCAGAAGCUUUUCCCCUGCACAGCGAUCCCUGCGAUGAGGAGCACAGGCAGCAUCUCCCCAUGGCACUGCCGGAACACACAAAGAUGUUUGCGGUUUGUGCCUCGCCUGCUGAUCCUGCGGAGGAGGCCGACGCAGCAUGGCUUGAGGCUGGCUGUGCCCAGGCCGCCCCUCCCCAGGAAGAGCCCCACAGGGCUGGGGAGCCGGCAGGGGCUUGCCCGCUGCCUGCCCAGCCCCUGGCACGCAGCGCUCCUGCUUGCCCCGCCGGCAGCGCAGCCGUCCCGCAGCCCCCGGCCCCACGGCCAUGGCGCUCCAUCGCCA
ensembl:lncRNA